CAAACUUAACUGUUUGCUUGAGCUAGAUAUGGAUCGAGAAAUAAAGAAUUCUCAUUAUUACCAUUAGUAUUGCUUGAAGGAACAAACAUGCUUUCCAAAUUUACCAAAUUACUUGCUACAUGAGAUACAUUGCUUGCUGUUGCCUUGAGUAUCCAAAAUUGUUUUCAUUUUGAUAUUGUGAUGACAUAAUACUUCUGCGCAGGAGUUGUUGGGGAGACCAAUUCGUUUGAAAUUUAGUGAAAGAAACUCCAAUGCUUCUGAAAGUAAAGAAGAAUCAAACUCCGAUGUUGCAGAGAGUGAGGCAGAGUCGAGCGGAGAAGAGUCUUAAGCUCGUCCCCCUUCUUGAAAACAAGAAAACGAUGGCUGAAAAACCUGCUCACUUUCAGUCUCUUGAUGAUAAAGAAUAUUGCUGGCAGUUUACUUUUGUCUUGCUCAAUUUUUGUUAGGUGCGUCUGCUUUGAUAGCAUUUUCACCAUUUUUUAACUGUUUUCACAUGUUUUGUAUAUGGUGGAUAAUUUUUCUAAAUCAAGAUUGCGGAUCGGCAUCCAAUGAACAAGAGCAAUACACAACAAGAUAGCUCGAAACUAAACCAACAAGAAGGUAAAGAACGCGAAGCAAUUUACGUGGUUUGAUAUAUUAAGAUUUAC
rnacentral:lncRNA from 1 species